rnacentral:lncRNA from 1 species
GCGACUCCAUCCCCAGACGGUCCAGCUGAUUUGGAGGCGGUUCAGAGCCGCUCAGGUAGACCUGUUUGCUGCUCCAGAGACCUCUCACUGCCAGGCUUUCUACUCCCUGACCGAGGGAACUCUCGGCACGGACGCACUGGCACACAGCUGGCCGCGGGACCUACGCAAGUAUGCGUUUCCCCCAGUGAGCCUUCUCGCACAGACGUUGUGCAAAGUCCAGGAGGACGAGGAGCAAGUCUUACUAGUAGCGCCAUAUUGGCCUACUCGGACCUGGUUCCCCGAACUAGUGCUCCUCUCGACAGCCCCUCCUUGGCUGGUUCCUCUGAGGAGGGAUUUACUGACUCAGAGACGGGGCACCAUUUGGCACCCGCGUCCAGACCUUUGGAAACUCCAUGUUUGGUCCCUGGACGGGACGCGGAGGUUCUAGGUGACCUACCCCAAGAGGUAGUUAACACCAUCACUUCGGCAAGAGCACCGUCUACGAGACACGCCUAUGCCUUGAAGUGGAACCUGUUCGUUGAGUGGUGUUCUUCUCGCCGAGAAGACCCCCGAAGAUGCCCGAUUGCGGCCGUGCUAUCCUUUUUGCAGCAAGGGUUGGAGCGAAGGCUGUCUCCCUCCACCCUCAAAGUCCAGGUUGCCGCUAUUGCUGCGUACCAUGACCCUGUGAAUGGGAAGUCUUUGGGUAAGCAUGACCUCAUCAUCAGGUUCCUUAGAGGGGCCAGGAGGUUAAAUCCAUCCCGGCCCCCCUGUAUACCCUCUUGGGACCUGUCUCUAGUGCUUAAAUCACUACAGCAGGGCCCAUUCGAGCCUUUGCAUUCAGUUGAGCUAAAGUUUCUUUCAUUGAAAACUGUGCUCCUGCUUGCACUGGCCUCCAUCAAGAGGGUAGGGGACCUGCAUGCAUUUUCGGUCAACGAUUCGUGCCUAGAGUUCGGGCCGGCUGACUCCCAGGUAAUCCUGAGGCCCCGGCCUGGCUACGUGCCCAAGGUUCCCACUACACCCUUCAAAGACCAAGUGGUGAACCUGCAAGCGCUGCCCCUGGAGGAGGCAGACCCAGCCUUGGCUUUGCUUUGUCCUGUUCGAGCAUUAAGGUGCUACGUGGACCGGACGCAAAGCUUCAGGACCUCAGACCAGCUCUUUGUCUGUUACGGAGGCCGGCAGAAGGGGAAUGCCGUCUCUAAGCAGAGGAUGGCCCACUGGAUUGUGGAUGCCAUAACCCUGGCUUAUCAGGCUCAGGAUGUGCCCUGCCCGUUCAGGCUUCGAGCUCACUCAACUAGAAGUGUUGCAUCCUCCUGGGCGCUGGCUCGUGGCGCCUCGCUGACAGAUAUUUGUAGAGCUGCGGGCUGGGCGACCCCUAACACGUUCGCUAGGUUCUAUAGCCUUCGUGUAGAGCCGGUAUCCUCCUGUGUUCUCACCUCAAACGGGUAG